GGGUGUGAGGGCUCUCUGUCUGUGACACUGGUCACCCCAUUGAUUGCUAGGGAUGAUUCGACUGACCUGGCUGAUGAGGCGGGUGCACCGGUCCUUCCUCACCACUCCAAGUGCCUCCUCCCAAAACUGCACACUCAGCUGAAGAGCGUGACCUGCCCUGAUAAAGAAUGAUCAUUCCUGGGCCAAGGGUAUAUGAGUAGCUGUGCUCCCCUGCCAGAACCUCCCCACACGCUUCCAAGGUCCAUAUGUAGGAGAAUGUAGGAUAGUCAAGCUUCUAAGACUCCAGACACUCCAAAUGAGGCGCUGCAUGUGGCAGCCUGCCUUUCUU
ensembl:misc_RNA 7SK 7SK RNA